rnacentral:rRNA from 1 species
GGGGAGGCAGCAGUAAGGAAUAUUGCGCAAUGGGCGAAAGCCUGACGCAGCGACGCCGCGUGGGGGAUGAAGGUCUUCGGAUUGUAAACCCCUCUCGGCAGGGAAGAUGGAACGGGUAACCGUUCGGACGGUACCUGCAGAAGCAGCCACGGCUAACUUCGUGCCAGCAGCCGCGG